CUUAAGGCUUCAUGAAAUGUGGACGAUGGCAUCACAAGCCUGAAAGGGCUGUUGUGAAUCUUCAGUGCGUUCAUACAUGUCAAGCACUCAGGGACAGGCCCAAGGACAGGUUCUCAGAAGUGAAAUUAGUGGAUCAAAAACUCCAAGUAUGGCAUUAUGUGACAAACUCUGGCCAAUGGGACCUGAAGGGAAGUGACACGUGUCAUCAGAAGAGAGCGUGUUCCAGAUGCUAUAGCUACAAGAUUAUGAGAGCCCAUCAACUGAGGUCCCUGAGUGGAUAUUGGAACACAUGCUCCUGCCAACACACUUUGGAUAGGUAGUUUAAGCCAGAAAUAAACUUUUGUUAUGUUAAGCAACUAUUAUUUUGGAAUUGUUGCUGAAGCAUAGUCUAGCACUGGGAAUGGCAAAUUUUUACUGUAAAGACCCAGAUAGUAAAUAUUUUCAGUGAAAGCAGCCUUGGCCAGUACAUAAAUGAAUGUGGCUGUGUUCCAAUAAAACUUUAUUAAUAAAAACUGGCAGCAACUGGAUUUGGCCCAAGGGUAUAGUUUGUCAAUACUUGGUCUAUCAUAUCCUGACUAUACAUUUCCAAAGUAUUAUCUUUCUUUACUCUAAAAUCUCAUUAAAA
rnacentral:lncRNA from 1 species